ensembl:snoRNA SNORD39 Small nucleolar RNA SNORD55/SNORD39
UUUGACUGUAUGAUAACACCUCAAUAACACUGCAGACUCCCAUUGUGCAGUGAGGAAGACAACUUUGGAGAGAUAAGCAUAAA